ACAUACGACCAUACCCGCUGGAAUAUACGGGAUCCCGUCCGCUCUCCCCUUGUCAAACCAGUGAGGGCUGAACUAGUACUCAGGUGGGUGACCACUGGGGAAUCCUCGGUGUUGUAUGUU
rfam:Magnaporthe oryzae 70-15 chromosome 7, whole genome shotgun sequence.